UCUCUCCAUCUUUUGUCACUGCCAUAUCAGUAGCUCCUCCUGUAGUACCAACAGUCGCAAAUGUGUCUUACAUACCAGUCAACUCACCUAUGGUAGCUGUUGCUGGUUCUCAUCCAGAGGUUGGAAUGGGCACUUUUGCGCCUCGUUCCUCUACGCCUUCUAAGUUUGUCUCUUAUGGUAACAUAUCAGCUGCAACUGGUGUCAGUUGUUCUCAGUUUUCUCAACCUAUUGUUGGGCAUAUGGGAAAUAGAACCCAGCCACUUAGAUACGCUGGUCAAUAUCAUCCUGUUCAGGCUGCAACGGCAUAUUUGAAUCCAAACUCACAGCAGUUAUGUUUGGACAUGGACAGCUGAUUUGCUUACCUGUUUUUCAUGAUUUGGUUCCAAGUGCAGCAGCUAUCUUCCCGGAACCCGCAGGCCUUCCGUUGAAUCCACACCAUGUCCAAUAUCCAAAACACCAAGGUAAUGCGGCGGGCCACGCAUUGCAGCUUUGUGUACCUCAACCUUUCAUCGGCGGCGGACAAGCACCAAUGGCGAUGCCAAGCCAUAUUCCAUAUUUGCAAGCUGCUUUCCCGGUUAGUCGUCCCCUACAAAUCCCUGGUUCUAAUGCACUAUUUAGCACCAACCUUCCAU